GUCUGGCUGGCUCAGUUAGAAGAGCAUAUGACUCUUAAUCUUAGGAUCAUGAGUUCAAGCCCCAUGUUGGGUG
rnacentral:tRNA from 1 species